GAUCAAGUUACCAAGGGCGUACGGUGGAUGUCUAGGCGUUGAGAGGCGAUGAAGGACGUGGGAACCUGCGAUAAGCCCAGAGGAGCUGGUAACCGAGCGUUGAUCCUGGGAUUUCCGAAUGGGGCAACCCGGUCCCGCCACUAAAUCGGUUUUGAGCGGUCGAAACACCGGCCAAUGCAUAGACCGAUCUAGUGGCGGGAUCACCUACGCCUGAAUGCAUAGGGCGUGGGGGCGAACCUGGCGAACUGAAACAUCUCAGUAGCCAGAGGAAAAGAAAGCAAACGCGAUUCCGUCGGUAGCGGCGAGCGAAAGCGGAACAGCCCAAACCGUCCCGACUUGUCGGGGCGGGGUUGCGGGCGCCAAUGUGGCACGCUUGAUCAACCUGUGAAUCGUUCAGGAAAGCCGAACCAAAGAAGGUGACAGUCCUGUAGCAGGUGGUGACAGCGGCCUAGGCGUACCAGAGUAGCACGGGGCUCGUGGAACUCUGUGUGAAACUGGGGGGUCCACCCUCCAAGGCUAAAUACUCCUCAACGACCGAUAGUGAACCAGUAAGGCGACUGAAUGAUGAAAAGAACCCCGAUAAGGGGAGUGAAAAGUACCUGAAACCGUAUGCCUACAAGCAGUCGGAGCCGGCCGUCUCCUUGCGAGACGGUGGGUGACGGCGUGCCUCUUGCAUAAUGAGCUGACGAGUUGCUCUCUGUGGCCAGGCUAAGCUGCUUCCCAGCGGAGCCGAAGGGAAACCGAGUCUUAAAUGGGCGUGUAGUCGCAGGGGGCAGACGCGAAACCGAGUGAUCUACCCAUGGGCAGGUUGAAGAGGGGGUAAUGCCCCUUGGAGGACCGAACGCACCAACGUUGAAAAGUUGGGCGAUGACCUGUGGGGAGGAGUAAAAGUCUAAUCAUACUCGGAGAUAUCUCGUUCUCCUCGAAAUAGCUUUAGGGCUAGCCUCACGUUACACCGCACGGGGGUAGAGCGACUGGAUGGGGCUGGGGGGCCACAAGCCUACCCAC
rnacentral:rRNA from 1 species